CCUACGGGAGGCAGCAGUGAGGAAUAUUGGUCAAUGGGCGAGAGCCUGAACCAGCCAAGUCGCGUGAGGGAGUACUGCCCUAUGGGUUGUAAACCUCUUUUGUCGGGGAGCAAAAGCCGGACGUGUCCGGCUGUGAGAGUACCCGAAGAAAAAGCAUCGGCUAACUCCGUGCCAGCAGCCGCGGUAAUACGGAGGGUGCGAGCGUUAUCCGGAUUUAUUGGGUUUAAAGGGUGCGAAGGCGGAUUUUUAAGUCAGCGGUAAAAUCGUGGGGCUCAACCCCAUCCAGCCGUUGAAACUGGGGAUCUAGAGUGUGCGAGAGGUAUGCGGAAUGCGUGGUGUAGCGGUGAAAUGCAUAGAUAUCACGCAGAACCCCGAUUGCGAAGGCAGCAUACCGGUGCACAACUGACGCUCAGGCACGAAAGCGUGGGUAUCGAACAGGAUUAGAUACCCCAGUAGUC
rnacentral:rRNA from 1 species